AUUGAACGCUGGCGGCAGGCCUAACACAUGCAAGUCGAGCGAGCGGCGGACGGGUGAGUAAUGUAUGGGGACUGCCCGAUAGAGGGGGAUAACUACUGGAAACGGUAGCUAAUACCGCAUACUAUCGGAUAACCCAUAUGGGAUUAGCUAGUAGGUGAGGGAAUGGCUCACCUAGGCGACGAUCCCUAGAUGGUCUGAGAGGAUGAUCAGCCACACGGGGACUGAGACACGGCCCAGACGCCGACGGAGGCAGCAGUGGGGAAUAUUGCACAAUGGGCGCAAGCCUGAUGCAGCCAUGCCGCGGGUAGGAAGAAGGCCAUAGGUUUGUAAAGUACUUUCAGUCGGGAGGCGUUACCGACAGAAGAAGCACCGGCUAACUCCGUGCCAGCAGCCGCGGUAAUAC
rnacentral:rRNA from 1 species